GCUGGAGACAGAGGGACUUCUGGGGAUUCAUGCAUUCAUUUCGGCAGUGGCGGGCGGUGAAUUUGGUACCCGGGUCUUCAGUGGGGACUUUGUCGAAGGCCUGCUACGACCACCACUGAUGAAAACACCAAACGAACUUCUAGAGCAGGCGUUCGCGCAGAGCCAUGGAAAUGCUAUCCGAUGGGCUGCGUUGGAAUUGAGCAUCAACAAAAGCUCAAUUCAGCAGAUGUUUCGGAAAGUGACAACGAUUCACAUGUACCGACUUCAGCUUGGUCGUUUGAAAUCCCAGCUAUGAAGGGAACAGGAGGACACAUGGCGCAGUGACGAGUUUUUUCGGGGGGUUCCCGAUGACUGCUUGUUCAGCAAUGUGGAACGUGUGGAACGUGUUGAGCUGAUGGAGCUGAUAAAGCCACCUGUCUUUGGAUGAGCAUCACGCGGGACUUGAAUGCUUCCAGGCCCGAGGUGGUGGCGUCAUACCACACGUGACUGGUUGACACAACAAAUGUAUAAAUUCACCCAAAUGGGGCUCGUGUGCGUCGUCAAUCACACAAAAUAGUUGAGAACGGUUUACAUAAGCAGUUAAAAAUGUGUUUUUGCAAGCUUUUAAAAACAAAACAUUCAAAUUUGACACACUACCCUUAAAGCUUGGUUGUAGUCAUUUUGGUUUA